GUGCAGGACAUCAAGCUUUGCAACUAGGUUCACACCAUUGCAACCAAGGCCAUUGGAGUCGAUUAUUGAUAUAGAGAGGGCACAGAAUAAAUCAACUGAAGAACUUACGGACAUUUGGGAUGAUGUAAUUCUUUAUACCCUAUUGAAGUUUUUUCCCCACUAGAAUACUCACACUUUGACAGUUUUUUCUGUUUUUCUAUUGUUUCUAACACCCUAAUACAAAUACAUGGUUUAGGCUCAUUAGCAGACGUGUUCAUUCAGAUUAAGGAAUCUGCUAGGAGAAUAUAUUUAAUUAUUGACCGUGUUUGCAAGGCCUUUAAGUGUACUUUGUUACCCCCUUAUCACUAGAAGUUCAAUUGUAAAAGGAUGAACCAUUAACAUCUAUUCAGUGAACAAUGAAUGUCUGGAUUGCGUUGACUGAAUUUAAAGAGAUUAAAGCAGAAUUUUGAUACUGCCUAAAUUUUUAGGAAGGAUUUUAUAGUAUUUGUAUUCUAAGCAUCCAUUGUAGUGGGUGAAUGACAAACUAUGCUUGUUGUUUUAACGCAAAUUUUUGCUCUAUGUAUUCACUUUUUAGGAAAAUCUUCAAGGAUCAAAAUCUUAUUCUGCACACCCACAUGAAAUAUUGAGUCAUAAAGAUGUUAAAUAUUAUAUUUCAUGAAUUUUAUAUAUCAAUUUUAUUUUUUUAAACAGAGGGAUCCGCUUACAAAAGAGUUACUGGGUCAUAUCAAAUUUUUCUAUGAGAUGAAUUGCAGCAAUGAACGUGGGUGGACAACUAAAGAAGCGGAGUCCCAUUAUGUAAGUAGUACUUGUUAUAAUUGUAUAAUGAAUAUUUCAAAAAUAUAAUAUUUUAUUUAUAAUUUACAUGGAUCCACAGAAUCAAAUGGUCAACCUUUUACAAGAAGAAAAUUCUCAACUAGAUUCGAAUGAACACCUAUGCCUUUAAAAGAAUCUGAAAUAUGUGAGUAAGUUUUGGGCAAGAGAUUUUGCCACGUUGAUCAAUAGAAAAAUUCAAAGAAGAAAAGGUUGCAAAAUUGUGGUAUUUGUGCAGAGAAUGCUGCUUUACAAAAUGAGUUUGAAGAUCUUUGCUCUCAAUUGAAAUCUCUGCAGACAUUUUUUAAGUCGCAUUCUUGAAGAGUCUCUUCGGUCUAUUCAAUCUGAUGUGUCUUCGUCCAAUGUUUUAAAUGGUGAUAAUUAAUAUGUUUUUUACUUUAUUUUUGGUGAUGUAGUAAUAGUUAUAUAUUUUUAUUUGAUUGAGGCAAUAGUUUCUAACUUUACAUCUACUAGUUUUUAAUGUUGAGAACACUAAUGAUUGAACAG
rnacentral:lncRNA from 1 species